CAGUAGCCGCGGGAAUACGAAGGGGGCUAGCGUUGUUCGGAAUUACUGGGCGUAAAGCGCACGUAGGCGGAUAUUUAAGUCAGGGGUGAAAUCCCGCAGCUCAACUGCGGAACUGCCUUUGAUACUGGGUAUCUUGAGUAUGGAAGAGGUUAGUGGAAUUGCGAGUGUAGAGGUGAAAUUCGUAGAUAUUUGCAGGAACACCAGUGGCGAAGGCGGCUAACUGGUCCAUAACUGACGCUGAGGUGCGAAAGCGUGGGGAGCAAACAGGAUUAGAUACCCGAGUAGUCCCUGUCUCUUAUAU
rnacentral:rRNA from 1 species